rnacentral:lncRNA from 1 species
UCUCCUCCCUUUUCUUUAAACCAAGAGCUACUCCUCCCUUUUCUUUUUUUAUGUAAUUUCAAUACGAUUUCAUUUGUGUUCAUGUUUUCCAUUUAUAACCCCACGGAAGUGAAUAGAAAAAAUAAAAAUACCCCUGUGAUACGCCUUCCUUUACCUAUUUAUAGAUUGAUUGAUGUUCAAUGGAGGGAAACUUGCCAUUCCUUCUUUCCUUUGAAAUUUUACAUGUUUUUUUAUUCUGAACUAAUUGUAUCCUUUUUGUUCCCAUCGAGCUUUCUUGCCUAGUGACUAAGGAUUUUCACACUUGUUGUGUCUAGGCUCUGCAAAGAUUUUCUCAUAAAACACUAACAGAAGUGUUAGAGGGAUUCACUUUCGAUAAGAAUCCAAAAGCA